GCCAGCAGCCAUAUCAGUCUGCAACUCACAACUGGCAACCCACUGAAGCUAAAGUGGGUGUGAGCCUGGUCAGUACCUGGAUGGGAGACCUCCUGGGAUAAACUAAGGUUACUGCUGGAA
rnacentral:rRNA from 1 species